rnacentral:rRNA from 1 species
AGAGUUUGAUCCUGGCUCAGGACGAACGCUGGCGGCGUGCCUAAUACAUGCAAGUAGAACGCUGAAGGGAGGAGCUUGCUCUUUCCGGAUGAGUUGCGAACGGGUGAGUAACGCGUAGGUAACCUGCCUGGUAGCGGGGGAUAACUAUUGGAAACGAUAGCUAAUACCGCAUAACAGUAGAUAUCGCAUGAUAGCUGCUUGAAAGGUGCAAUUGCACCACUACCAGAUGGACCUGCGUUGUAUUAGCUAGUUGGUGGGGUAACGGCUCACCAAGGCAACGAUACAUAGCCGACCUGAGAGGGUGAUCGGCCACACUGGGACUGAGACACGGCCCAGACUCCUACGGGAGGCAGCAGUAGGGAAUCUUCGGCAAUGGACGGAAGUCUGACCGAGCAACGCCGCGUGAGUGAAGAAGGUUUUCGGAUCGUAAAGCUCUGUUGUAAGAGAAGAACGAGUGUGAGAGUGGAAAGUUCACACUGUGACGGUAUCUUACCAGAAAGGGACGGCUAACUACGUGCCAGCAGCCGCGGUAAUACGUAGGUCCCGAGCGUUGUCCGGAUUUAUUGGGCGUAAAGCGAGCGCAGGCGGUUAGAUAAGUCUGAAGUUAAAGGCUGUGGCUUAACCAUAGUACGCUUUGGAAACUGUUUAACUUGAGUGCAAGAGGGGAGAGUGGAAUUCCAUGCGUACCGGUGAAAUGCGUAGAUAUAUGGAGGAACACACGGUGGCGAAAGACGGCUCUACUGGCUUGUAACUGACGCUGAGGCUCGAAAGCGUGGGGAGCAAACAGGAUUAGAUCCCCUGGUAG